AGUAUUGUUUGUCCACCGAUAAGCCCCGGAACUUAUUGUAUGUCAAACAUGAA
rfam:Lactobacillus amylophilus DSM 20533 = JCM 1125 strain DSM 20533 NODE_21, whole genome shotgun sequence.